ensembl:lncRNA
UGGACAACUACACUGAGCCGCAUUUCCGUUAAUAACCAGCAGAGGGCAGUGUGCAAUUCCAAGCCACAAUCAGGUGGAAACUCAUUAGAUGUAACCAAUGACUCAGGCAAAGAGUCGAAUGGACCUCACAGCCUAGAUUCUAAAGAAAUCAAUACACACGCUAGCAAAUCUGUAGGAUUCACCAAAGAAGAAAGGGAAGAAGAAAGGGAACAUUAUGGCAGUGAUACAUCAUCUGAAAAGCCCAAGUCCAUCUAUAGAAGGCUACCCACUCCAGGUCCCAGACAACAAAGAAAAGAGGCCUCAGUCGAAACCAUCAAAACCAUUUCAGAGACUGAAGUUCAGGAGAGUACAGUAGGUGCGUACUCAUAUAUGGAGCGAACUGCACAAGGAGAGCUGACGGAGGGUUAUUGUGUGGUCAGUCACAACAGUAGCAGCAGCACAAGAACUGUGUCAAAACCUGGGAAGAGUGAAUUGGGAGAGGUAAAGAAGAAAAAGUCUGACACUUCCUUUAGAUCCUCAGGUGUUGCACAGAUUCUUCAGCUACAAAACAAUGGGACGAUGGGAAUAACAGAGACUGUGAUGCACAUAUAUGAAUCGCAGGGCACGUGUGACAAUUACAAUGCAAAUACACAGGUGUAUGUGGACAGCAAGCCUGGAUAUCACACAAAAGCUUUGCCUCAAAGCAAGCCAGGCUCAACAGACUCAGGACCCCGUUCGUCAAGUAAUGAUUGCGAUGUAGAUCUCACUAGGAAGUCCCCAAGUUCCAACUCCCAGGAUGGUGGAAAAUCCAAUAUGCUAUCAUUAUCAUCUGCCUGUUCAACACCUCCAAAAAAGAAAAGCAACAAUCCAUCCAUCCUCACUGAUGAUGAAAAACAAACAUUGGUUGACGGUAUGUCUGAAAUGACUGAAAAGGAAAUUAUCCAUCCAGCAGCAGCGAUGGAACAAGUCUCUGAUGAUAAAAGCAUUGUAAGUAAUAAAAAUAAUACGCCAAAGUCCAAAAAAUCUAAGAAAAGUACUUCUUCUGAAUCAUCUGGAUUUGGGAGAAAAAUAAGGGGCAGUGCUCCAAGGUCUUCAAAAGACCUCAAAAUGACGUCAGACACAAUAAGCCACACAGGAUCAGAGAAAAAGACUAGCUCAGCAGAAAGUGACAGACGUGAACACAAAGCUGUAAGAGACAAAAAUAAGAAGACAAAAACAUCUGAAAGUUCUCCAAAGAUUAGACACUUUAAUCUCAAUACAGGGAAUCAAAGUCGGUCAGAUGAAGAUCUCAAGUUAAAAGAUAAAACUAUCAAAGACAUUUCCCACAAAGUAAACACAAAUGAGCAUGACUCUCAGGGGCCUAAACUAAAGAAGAAUAGUUUAGACAUUCAUCCGCCAGCCCCAAUACAGAGGCUACCAAAACAAAGGUCAAUGAAUGGUGUCAGGUCAAAAAAGUCCUCUAAACAAAAACAGGAGUUGAGUGAAAGUGUAUCAUUGCCUGUGCUGCAAUUAUCCCCCUCCAGUGUAAAUCAAUAUGUUGAAAGCUGGCUAAAUAAAAUUGAACCAGAAUCUGUGCCCUACCAUUAUGAGACAAACCAUCCAGAGAUUGUACCAAGAGCAGUAUUCCAGAUAGGUAGUGACUCCACUGAUGGCUCUGAGAUUAAAAGUGACCCCGAAAAAGAUCGCGUAGAUGUUAAAGGCCCUUCUCUAGAAGAUAAUGCUGACGAGAGGCCAACUUCUCGCCCACCUGUACAAAUAAUGUGUGAGGGAGAGCCAACCGAGCCACAGAGGCCGAGAGGAUUUUGUAAAUCAAUGCCAAUUUUGAGGGUACAUUCUGAACAGGAGGGUCUUGUAAGAAUGCACAAGUCAUCUGAGAACUUGGCUCCUCCUGACCCUUCUGGGACAUCACAAAGUACAGAGGUCAGAGUUAGGUCAGGCAUGAAACCGGUUUUGCAACAGUUGUGUUUGUCUGUUCAGUCCAUCAAGCAGGCGUUGAGUCCUACCCGCUUAACAUCUCUGGAAAGGGAAAAGUCGAGUAGCCUCCCGGAUUUUUCCUCUCAGGUGGCCUCUGCCUUUGGGUCUCCCUCAAGAGCUCUUCUGUCUUUCUUGUCACUGAUGACUCUGAGAGAUGGACUUUCAGUCCUCUACAAAGAUGAAUCACAAGCCAGCAACUCUAACAUCUGUCCAGAGUCCCUGCAGGUAAUGCAGUCCUUGGAGAAAAUAUCCAGUAUUAAAGAUGAAGAUGAGCUAAAG